UACAGAGGGUGCAAACGUUGUUCGGAAUUACUGGGCGUAAAGGGCGCGUAGGCGGUCAGCACAAGUCAGUUGUGAAAUCUCCGAGCUUAACUCGGAAAGGUCAACUGAUACUGUGCGACUAGAGUGCAGAAGGGGCAACUGGAAUUCUCGGUGUAGCGGUGAAAUGCGUAGAUAUCGAGAGGAACACCUGCGGCGAAGGCGGGUUGCUGGGCUGACACUGACGCUGAGGCGCGAAAGCUAGGGGAGCGAACGGG
rnacentral:rRNA from 1 species